GACGAACGCUGGCGGCGUGCUUAACACAUGCAAGUCGAACGGCAAGGCCCUGCUUUUGUGGGGUUCUCGAGUGGCGAACGGGUGAGUAACACGUGAGUAACCUGCCCUUGACUUUGGGAUAACUUCAGGAAACUGGGGCUAAUACCGUAUCGGAGCUCCUGCUGCAUGGUGGGGGUUGGAAAGUUUCGGCGGUUGGGGAUGGACUCGCGGCUUAUCAGCUUGUUGGUGGGGUAGUGGCUUACCCAGGCUUUGACGGGUAGCCGACCUGAGAGGGUGACCGGCCACAUUGGGACUGAGAUACGGCGCAGACUCCAACGGGAGGCAGCAGUGGGGAGUAUUGCACAAUGGGCGGAAGCCUGAUGCAGCGGCGCCGCGUGCGGGAUGACGGCCUUCGGGUUGUAAACCGCUUUCGCCUGUGACGAAGCGUGAGUGACGGUAAUGGGUAAAGAAGCACCGGCUAACUACGUG
rnacentral:rRNA from 1 species